ensembl:snRNA U2 U2 spliceosomal RNA
AUCACUUCUCGGCCUUUUGGCUAAGAUCAAGUGUAAAUUUCAGUCUCUGAAUUUCUUUUUGAGUUAAUUUUGAAUUUCUUAUAUGCAGCAUAUUUUUGGAUCUUGCUUAUUGACCCAUUCUUCUGGUCUAUUUCUUUUGAUUGGUGAAUUGAGACCAU